rnacentral:rRNA from 1 species
UACGGAGGGUGCGAGCGUUGUCCGGAAUCACUGGGCGUAAAGGGCGCGUAGGCGGCCUGAUAAGUAGGGGGUGAAAUCUUGCGGCUUAACCGCAAGGCUGCCUUCUAAACUGUCGGGCUAGAGCACAGUAGAGGCAGGUGGAAUUCCACGUGUAGCAGUGAAAUGCGUAGAGAUGUGGAGGAACACCGAUGGCGAAGGCAGCCCCCUGGGUUAACACUGACGCUCAGGCACGAAAGCGUGGGGAGCAAACAGG